rnacentral:rRNA from 1 species
UACGUAGGUGGCAAGCGUUAUCCGGAAUUAUUGGGCGUAAAGAGCGCGCAGGUGGUUAAUUAAGUCUGAUGUGAAAGCCCACGGCUUAACCGUGGAGGGUCAUUGGAAACUGGUUGACUUGAGUGCAGAAGAGGGAAGUGGAAUUCCAUGUGUAGCGGUGAAAUGCGUAGAGAUAUGGAAGAACACCAGUGGCGAAAGCGGCUCUCUGGUCUGUAACUGACGCUGAGGUUCGAAAGCGUGGGUAGCAAACAGG